rnacentral:lncRNA from 1 species
AAAGUACAAACUUUGAGUUCAUUCUUAACUGGGUAUUUUAAUUGCAGGUAAUUUUUCUCUCAAUUUUUGCUUUUAUCCUCUUAAAAUUCUUUUCAAAUUCCUCAACAUAGAGAAAGGGCUAGAGUUUCGGAAAAAAAUUUAAGAACAAACAUAUCACUGAAUCUAUUUUUGUAUUUGUUCCAGUGGAUUGAAGAACCGAAUCCUAUAUGGGUAUAUCUAUACACAGAAAAUCUAUAGUUUUUAUGGGAUUAUAAUAACGAUUAGAGAGGCAUGGCUCAAGCUCUCUCUGUCAAACAACAAUAGGGAAUAAAAGCAACGGAUUUGUGUUAAGCUCCGGGUCUCUACCAUUGUUGUCGAUAGAUUGACGUUGGGCAUCCAUCUCUGAGCUUUCUAUUAUUAUUUUUAUCUCUAAUGUAACUGUUCUCUCUUCUCAACCAAUUUGAUACCAAAAAUCAAAUUCUUCUUUUUCCUCCUCAAGGUUCCAGUCUCAGGAGCUUAUCAACAAAAAAAAAUAAAAAUCUUGCACCCGCCACUUUCAUAAACCCUGAAGGUACAUUGGUUGAAGCUUUUUUAUUAUAAGCUUCCCUGUACAAGUAAAUUUGCUAUUUUUGACAUUAUGUACGCACGGCUGAAUGCUGAUGAAUCAAAUGGUGGUGACUCGUGAGUGAUCCUGACAUUUUUUGGCUCAUCUUCAUGAGGUUCGUUUUAUACAAUUUUAGCCCUUCAGUUUCAAGUGACAAAGAUGUAGGAUUAAAUGUACUUAAGAUUGUUGUAAUUGAAGCUCUCAAGCAUUAGUUUAGUUUUGAGUUAUUUCUGAAUAUAUUUUCUAGAGAGUUGUUUUAUCUGUUGAUUCAAUUCUGAUGAGGAUAUCUUUUAUUGUAUAGUCACAGGCUGCUGUUGUGUGUGUUGCUUAUCUUCUAUGAUCGAAUUUGAUUGUCAAUUAAUUUUCUAUACAAUUAAUAGAUAAAAUUGGUGUUUAUAUCUCUUUAAAGAUUUCUUUCUUCCCUAAAUAUUUCUUGUGGAAUAUCAGUAAUAGUGCUUUGUGGAAUUUGCAAGAAACUAAUGAAGCACCUCAAAUGAUGCUAAAUUAUAUAUAUAUGACACUGAUAUUCUGCUUCCAAUUAUCUAUAUCCAAGUUCCAUUUGUUCCCUUUGAUUUUCCUUUCAGUAUCUCCACCAUUUGCUCUUUGUUUGUUAUAAGGUUCUUCUGUGUUAUUUUUGGUUUUCUUCUAUUUACGUUUUACAUAAUGUGAGUUUUGAGCAAAAAGCUAUAUCAUAAUGACUUGUGUUUAUUUAAUUAUUUGUUGUGGUCAUACUGAAAGUCAAUCACUUCAUCUGUCUCUUUUUGUGAUCUGAAGGCCUGAAAAUCACACUAAAGACCGAUGACAUUAAAAGAGAAUUCAUGAAAUUAAAAAUUUAACAUUAAAGGAUAAAAAUUUAGAUGUGCUGUCAUUUAAUUUUGUUUUUAGAAUCUGUUGUAUAAUUCCCUUUCUUAAAUUACCUGAAUUGUUCUGCAAGUGAAGAUUAUUUUUUUUGGUAACAACUGUAAAAUAUUACCAUAACCACCCAAGAACGGAUACAAAUAAAGAGCACCUAAUUCUGAUAAUAGAGAACAGGCCUCCUACCAAACAUAAAACCAAUUACAUAACAAAUGUUGAAUAAAGUGUCUACAAUUUUUUUGCUUUCUUUGAACUACUAAGUGUAAUCUUUCAAUAAUUUCCUUAUUUAUCUGUGUUACUGCCUCCUUCGUAUGUACACGUUUGUCUGUAAACCUCCUCCAAUUCCUGGCACGCCAAGUGUGGUAUAUGAUAUCUCCACAGAUAGCUGCCAUGAUCUCCUUUUUAAUUGCUUCCGGUGAUUACCUUUUAUGUUUUCCAGGACCUUCAUGAUACUAAUAAUCUGCACUGGUAUUUCAGUCCAAUGGUGCAUAACUUGCCACACAGCUAAUGUCCAUUUGCAUUUCUCGAAUAGGUGAACAUUAGUCUCCAUUACUUUCUCAUCACAUAAACAACAUUCAGUGUCAUCAACCUGAAUAUUCAAUCUCAGCUUUCUCUCCUGUGUAAGAUUUCUAUUUCACUAGAGUAUUAUAUUAUUAAAAGAAUUAAUUAUUGAACAUAAAUUUGCUUCAUAGUCAAAGCACACCAGUAAAAAAGAGUUGGUAUCAAUGAAAACAAAAUUAUGACAUGAGAGAUUAGUACACUUGACUUGAACACAAGUUUCAAAAUAAACCAUGAAGAGAAAACAAAUAAAUAAUUAGCCAUCUUUAUAAUUCUAUACACAAAAUGGAGAUGAAAGUGUAGGUCAGAAAGACCACAGAUUACAGAACUAUGAUCACCAGUCAUCUUUCCUUCUCCGUUGGAUGGCAUUUUAGUUCACUUUUCUCCAUUCUUUUUACACACCUUAUCUCAGAAUCUCCCAUCAAAUUUAACUCUGUGUGUGUGGCGUACCUAGAAUCUAACAACAUCUUUUGACUAAAUACCAUCCUAAAUUACCCCUACAUUUAUACAGUGUGCUAUUGGAAGUUACUCACUUUAGGAAACAUGAAGUUCUUAUCUUUAAUCUAUCACUUACUUGGUUGUUUAAGUUAUUUUUAUUUUAUUGCACGGAGAGUUACUUACAUUUUGAAAAAUGUUGUUCUAAGCUUUUAACAAUUAUUUAUUUGGCGUUCACACUUUGUGAGUGCUCUCUUCAAAACGUGGAAAAAAUAUAUCCUAAAUAGCUUCUACGACAAUCGCAGUAAUGCAUCAAACAAUGACACUGUAGUUUAUCUGAAUUACUCACCUAAUCAAUUAAGAUCUUGACACACUUUCUACAGAUCUUUUAAGAUCCUAGAUGAAACAUAAGUAUCUUUAAAGUUAUAGCUCGCUAAUUACUAUUUUUUGCACUCAGUUUUAGAAUUCUUUAGUUGACGAUUGGUGUUUACUUGAUUUUUGAAGGUAUUUCAAAACAUCUCCCUGUUAUGUGUUUCCGGGAUAGCAAAGGUUGGCUACUAAGCUAGGUAUUGUAUCUCCAACACAAUUGAAAUGAUAGAUCAAGUUAGCUCUGCAAUAUUUACUAAAACUGUAAGUUCUUGAAAUCUUUUGGAUAUCUUUCAUCUUAAAUAUCAGUAGAUUUUCUUAAAUAUUUGUUCAAGGUUCUUCAUUCCUCCAACUGGCCGUGGUUUAGUGUUUAUGUGAUUAUACUUGUUGUCAUUGUUACAGUUCCUUACAUAUAUGCUCCGCAUUAUUUUGUUAAAAGUGUAGAUAGGUAAUAUAAUUAUUCUACAUCACUAUAGUGUAAGAGUAAGUAUGCUAACCAAAAGGGCACUGUGUGUAAUUGCAUCAGGGGCGUAAUAAUAAAAAUUUCUAUUAAUUCUAUUGUAUAGAAACAUGAAGAGCUAGGACGACCAAUGGCAUAACCAUAAAUAUACUCAAUAUUGAAGGGUAAUAUGGUCAUUAUACAACACUAAUUUUUUAGCAAUUAACAUGCGCCUCUUCUAUUUUCCUUCUAGAACAUUCUCUCUCUUCCUUCCAUGUUGCAAUUAAGAGAUGACUCAAGAAAAAGAAUUGGUAAAUUGAUCGGAUCUUUCCUAAACCUCCUCUCUCUAGACCUAAUAUGUGAUCUAUCUAUUUCAUAGACUUCUCUUGUGAUGCUACUAAAGCAGGAAUGGGUGGUGUAAAUGGUUUAAUUAUCGGUAUAUAUAAUCGGUUUAUACACAUAGGUAGCUUUAUGAACUUUAAAAAGGAUAUCUAGAAGGAUUGUAACAUGUCAUAUUCUACAAUUCUGAAGAGUAAGCAUGAUGAAUCUUUCUGAUUGAUAAAAAUGGCCUCGAGAGGGAUUGUAACAUGUCAUAUUUUUACAAUUGUGAAGAAUAAGCAUAUGUUGGAAUAUGAAUUUCAUAAAUUGUUGUUUCUUUCUGAUGAAUGUAGUAUAAUUGGUGCAGGUGAUUGACGGUUUAGUUCCAUUAACAGAGAUGUUCAAUUGCGUUAGUAAAACUUGAAAGGGAAUGACAAAGGAGCAUGCAUCGUACAUUAUGCAAUUAGGCAAGUUUGAUGUUGUCCCUCAACACAUUCAAAUCAGCUUGCCAAAAAGGAAGAAGCAGCAGUUGUUUAGUCAGUCAGCUUUCAAAUUUGGAUCCACGAACUUAAAAAUAGGUAUUUUUACUCAAUGAAGGGACUGCUCUUUGACAUCAUCUUGUCUUUUGGUGUUGCAAUUUCAGUUUGAUCUUUUAUCUUAAUUUUAGCCAUUAUUUUAAGAUUCUCUUUACAUUUUCCAACAUGGUUGAAGCGGUUAUAUUUUGACUAGCUUUCACUGCCAUAAAUUUCAUAGAGGCAAGUCAACAUGCCGGUUUUAUACUGAUUUGUUGUGAAUUUCAACCUCUUACUUGUUCUCCUAUGCUUGGUGGUUAAUUUCUUUAAAUUUUUUUACUCAACGGUUAGUCUCCCGUGGUUUCCACUCCAAGUCCACCAAUCCAACGUAAACUUGCCAACAUCGUAUUUCAUGAAACUUGUGUGCACUUACCAAACUACCCUGCCCCUUCGCCCUCAACCAUUAGCUCCCACGCCUAAUAACAAGGACAUCAUAGUAAAAUCACUUUGUUACCGUAAUCGAACAGACCCCAUAGAAUAUAGUUGGACUGGUUAUUUUUUUCUUUAACUUCUUUAAUAAUAAUUAAGAAUCUACGUUAACACUUGACUAAUAGUAUAUGAGUUCCCUCUGUUCUUUUUUCCAUCAUAAAGUUUAAUUUUUCUUUGUUGUUUCUAAAUUAAAACUUGUAUUCUUUUAAUUCCAAUCUUUUAACCUUUUAGGUGAACCAAGAAAAGAAAAAAUGUUGGAUGCAUAAAAGAAUAACAAGUUUUAUUCCCAAUGGUAAGAGUGACAAUUUGUUAGGGUUGGUUUUUUUUUUCCAUAAAUAUUUUUCAGAAUGUAGAAAAUUAUUUUUCUUGUUAAUUUUGCUUAUGUUGUGGGAAUUUUCUGAUAUAACAAGAGUCUACAAUCAGGCAGACGAAAACUCAAAUCGAAAUGAUCAGGAAGUAGAGAUAUGCAAUGUAGAAAUAUUUGAAGAAUGAUAUAACUGGCGUCUUAAAAUAUGGAUUGGAUGUCAACCCCUGCCACAGGGUAAUUUUCUUUUGUUGGAAUUGAUCCAUCUAUAUAUUCUGUUAUUCUAUCACUUAGUUUUAUUUUAUAUGGCCUCUUUCUUUAUACUGAUUUGUUGUGAGUUUUAGUUUUAUUUUAUAUGGCCUGUUUCUUUAUACUGAUUUGUUUGAGUUUCAACCUCUUACGUGUUCUCCUAUUCUUUGGUGGUUAAUUCCAUUAGUUUUUUUGUAUGUGCAUGUUAGUUCGUGCACAUAUCUUUUCUUCUACUUGAUUUUCCUAAAACCAAAUACACGCUAUCACUAAGAAUAAUGGUCUAUUGAGUUCUCUUCCUCUCAAUGCAACUGCAUUGCUUUGGCUAAUUUAUAUGAGCUUAAGGAAAAAGAAAAUGUAGAGUGAAUUUUUUAAAAAGAAAAUGUAGAGUGAUUUUUUUUUCUUUCUUUCUUUUCGGUGAUUACUAAGAAAGGCUAAUGAUCUAAAUUUAUGCAUUCUCUAAGUUGGUCUUUUUCAUAAGCACCAUGCCAAGUCAAAAAGGGCCACAUAAAAUAGGAUAGAUGGAGUAUAAUUUUUUUUUAAAUGUACUUCCUAUCAUAAAUAGUUAUUUUUGUAAUGAAAAAAUUAACAUAAAAUGUAUUCUUGAUAAAAAUAUUAGCCCCCCCCCCCUCCCCCUAAAAUUGAGGGCCCAAGGCAUGUGCUUACUUUUUAUAGCAUAGAGUUUACCAUGUGUUGCAAUUCUCAAGCCUUAAUUAGCUCUUGAAGAAGGUUAGCAACCACAUAUAUCUUCCUUCUCAGAAAUAUUUAUGCACAAAUAUACUUAUAUACGUGCAAGAUGUUUUAACAGUAAAUAUUGAAAUAUAGCGCAAGACUCUUCUCAUAUGAGCCAGACAUGUUUCAAUAUUCUAUGUGCUAAGAGGAUUCUUCCAUGAUUGUGAUUUUGAAUUUUGCAAUGUGAAUGACAGGAAUACUUUCUUGAAUCUAUUUCCUUAGGGCAUUGAGUGAAGGUUGUUCCUUUCAAAUUCACAUAUAACUUGGUAUAUGUUAAUUCUUUGUGGUUAUCUUCAGUAUUUUAUUUUAAAUUGACAUAUAACUUGUAAUAUGCUGGUUCUUUGUGAUUGUCUUCACUAUUUUAUUUUUACUUUUGCUUUAAGUGCUACUAUUUUUAUGAACAGUUGUUAUUUCGGAACUUUUAUUCCUUUCCUUGAGAUAUUAAAGCUGGAGUAUAUAGUUCGUGCUGAGUGAAGGAAAUUUUGCAUCUUAUCAAGACAAUUGCAAACACUCGAGGCAUCAAUGGAUUUAUGAAACGGAAUUUUAUUACUCUACAUGCAGCUCCAUUUAAGGAUACCAACUUCUAUUCUUUUGAAAAAUACAGAGAGCAUCUACUCAAAUUUACUACUAAUGAUUCAAGGCAUCACUAGAUUUUGUAAAAUGAAUUUUGUCAUAUUCUAUGAUUAGCUCUAUGUAAGUCUAUCCACUUCUAUUUUCUUAUGAUAAAUAUUGAAAAGUAUUUAGAAGAUAGUUGUCUGCAAUGUAAA